rnacentral:rRNA from 1 species
UACGAAGGGGGCUAGCGUUGUUCGGAAUUACUGGGCGUAAAGCGUAUGCAGGCGGAUCGUUAAGUCGGGGGUGAAAUCCCGAGGCUCAACCUCGGAACUGCCUUCGAUACUGGCGACCUUCGAGUCCGGGAGAGGUGAGUGGAACUCCGAGUGUAGAGGUGAAAUUCGUAGAUAUUCGGAAGAACACCAGUGGCGAAGGCGGCUCACUGGCCCGGUACUGACGCUGAGGUGCGAAAGCGUGGGGAGCAAACAGG